rnacentral:tRNA from 1 species
GUCGGUGUAGUUUAGUGGCAGAACGCUACGCUUCCAACGUAGCUGCAAGGGUUCGAUUCCCUUCUCCGGCU